rnacentral:rRNA from 1 species
UACGUAGGGUGCGAGCGUUGUCCGGAAUUAUUGGGCGUAAAGGGCUCGUAGGCGGUUUGUCGCGUCGGGAGUGAAAUCCACUGGCUUAACUGGUGGCUUGCUUUCGAUACGGGCAGACUGGAGGUAUGCAGGGGAGAACGGAAUUCCUGGUGUAGCGGUGAAAUGCGCAGAUAUCAGGAGGAACACCGAUGGCGAAGGCGGCUAUCUGGACCGACAUUGACGCUGAGGCGCGAAAGCGUGGGGAGCAAACAGG